rnacentral:piRNA from 1 species
UGCACUGUUAGAGUCCAGGAAAUGUCUCUGU